rnacentral:rRNA from 1 species
UGGGGAAUAUUGCACAAUGGGCGCAAGCCUGAUGCAGCCAUGCCGCGUGUGUGAAGAAGGCCUUCGGGUUGUAAAGCACUUUCAGCGGGGAGGAAGGCGAUAAGGUUAAUAACCUUGUCGACUGACGUUACCCGCAGAAGAAGCACCGGCUAACUCCGUGCCAGCAGCCGCGGUAAUACGGAGGGUGAAAGAGUUAAUCGGAAUUACUGGGCGUAAAGCGCACGCAGGCGGUCUGUCAAGUCGGAUGUUGAAUCCCCGGGCUUAACCUGGGAACUGCAUUAGAAAAUGGCAGGCAAGAGUCUUGUAGAGGGGGGUAGAAUGCCAGGUGUAGCGGUGAAAUGCGUAGAGAUCUGGAGGAAUACCGGUGGCUAAGGCGGCCCCCUGGACAAAGACUGACGCUCAGGUGCGAAAGCGUGGAGAGCAAACAGG